rnacentral:lncRNA from 1 species
AUAUAUAUAUAUAUAUAUAUAUAUAUAAAAUUUUAUUUAUAAAUAUAUAUUUAUAUAGUAUUUUAUUUAUAUAUAGAAAUAUUAUUAUAUAAUAUUUUAUUUAUAAAUUUGUAAUUAUUUAUUAAUAUUUUUAAAUAUAUAACUCUUAUAUAUUAUUAAUAUAUAUUUAUUAUAAUUUUAAAUAUAUUUAAUCUAUAUAUAAAAAUUAUAAUAAUAAUAUAUAUAGUAUAUUAAUUAUUAUAUAUUUAUUAUAUAGCCGAAUUUUUGAUUCCGAAUUUUUAAUUGGUGAACGUAUAAUACCUGUAUAAAUCACGUAUCCGAAUAAUUGUCGAAUCCAUUUCUUUGCCGUAUUUUUCAACGAAUUUAAAUAUUAAAAAACAAAUUUUAUCCGAAUUAUAUUCGUACCGAAUUUUUGCCGAAUCCGAAUUAACUAACUAUGCCUCCAGCCACCAAGGUUAGGUUAGUUUAGCUGCGAUCGAUCUCAUCCGUUCAUCUGCUCGCUCCGUUAAUUGAUAUUUGAAGGGCAAAUAAGAAAAGUAUUUGCUAUAUGAAGGGUAUAUAAGAAAAGUUAGUUACGAUACAAGGGUAUAUUGGAAUGGGUAAAAUAAUAAUUUUUUAGAGAAAACGGCAACUGUUAAUGGCACACUGACGGAAUUUAACUUCAGGGGAGAAGUUGGAACAUAAGAAGGAUAUUUUCAAUAUUAGCCUUCUAAGAGUCGAAAACUUUUCAGGGAUAUAUAGGCAAUUGCCCCUUUUAUAUUAUAAUCUAAUAUUAAAAUUUUAAUUUAUUAUUACUUUUAUUCUAAAUUUUUAAAAUUAAAAUAAUUAAACUUUAUAGUCUGAUUAAAUUGACUAAAUAAUGUUAUAUCACUGACGUGAUAAUAAAUUAUAUGACCAUUUUUCAGUAAAUGAUGUAGUAAUAAUUAAAAUAUUUUAU